AAAUGACUGCUAAUACCGCAUAAGACCACAGCACCGCAUGGUGCGGGGGUAAAAACUCCGGUGGUAUGAGAUGGACCCGCGUCUGAUUAGCUAGUUGGUAAGGUAACGGCUUACCAAGGCGACGAUCAGUAGCCGACCUGAGAGGGUGACCGGCCACAUUGGGACUGAGACACGGCCCAAACUCCUACGGGAGGCAGCAGUGGGGAAUAUUGCACAAUGGGGGAAACCCUGAUGCAGCGACGCCGCGUGAGCGAAGAAGUAUUUCGGUAUGUAAAGCUCUAUCAGCAGGGAAGAAAAUGACGGUACCUGACUAAGAAGCACCGGCUAAAUACGUGCCAGCAGCCGCGGUAAUACGUAUGGUGCAAGCGUUAUCCGGAUUUACUGGGUGUAAAGGGAGCGUAGACGGAUGGGCAAGUCUGAUGUGAAAACCCGGGGCUCAACCCCGGGACUGCAUUGGAAACUGUUCAUCUAGAGUGCUGGAGAGGUAAGUGGAAUUCCUAGUGUAGCGGUGAAAUGCGUAGAUAUUAGGAGGAACACCAGUGGCGAAGGCGGCUUACUGGACAGUAACUGACGUUGAGGCUCGAAAGCGUGGGGAGCAAACAGGAUCAGAUACCC
rnacentral:rRNA from 1 species